rnacentral:misc_RNA from 1 species
AAGGAAGAGUAUGUGGGUGGGUUCGGCAAGUGGAUGUUUUAGCCCACAAAGCCAUUGGAGGCUUCGUUUCACACUGCGGAUGGAACUCUGUUUUGGAAAGCAUUUGGCAUGCGGUGCCGCUCGUGGCUUGGCCGCAAUACGCCGAGCAACAGUUAAACGCGUUCAAGCUGGUUAGAGAAUUAGGAUUAGCAGUGGAGAUGAAGAUGGACUACCAUAGGGAGGGUGGAUCCCUGGUGACUGCAGAUCAGAUUGAGAGAGCCGUUCGAAGUGUGAUGGACGGCGAGGAAGCAGGGGAGGUGAGGAAGAGAAUGAACGAAAUUAGCAAGAAAAGUAGAGAAACCCUCAUUCAUGGUGGUUCCUCUUACAUUUCAUUUGGGAAUUUGAUUGAUGACAUGUUGGCUAGUUCUCAGUAUCUUAUAUCUUAUCUGAUUUGAUCUGAUCUGAUCUGAUCCCUUG